GGCCUUAUAGUCAUAAUUUGAUAUAAAAUUGCAAAUUUUAUGGGGUAUAAUAAUACUAAGGCUU
rnacentral:tRNA from 1 species